AAGUAGGAAGCGAAAGAUUGCACUCUGUUUCGACCAGAAUUUUGGUAAAUCAUACUACCCCUACUUA
rnacentral:tRNA from 1 species